UACGUAGGGGGCAAGCGUUGUCCGGAAUCAUUGGGCGUAAAGCGCGUGUAGGCGGCUUGGUAAGUCCGUUCUGAAAGCCCGGGGCUCAACCCCGGGAGGCGGAUGGAUACUGUCGGGCUAGAGUGCGGAAGAGGCGAGUGGAAUUCCUGGUGUAGCGGUGAAAUGCGCAGAUAUCAGGAGGAACACCUAUUGCGAAGGCAGCUCGCUGGGACGUAACUGACGCUGAGACGCGAAAGCGUGGGGAGCAAACAGG
rnacentral:rRNA from 1 species